CAAUCCAAAUACCCAUCACUUUUUCUUAUUUGACGUCAUGAUCAACAUUGGAAGAGAAUACUUUUAUUGGAGGGUAUGGAUUCGAUCGACAUGAAUCGAUCGAAAAAUGAGAACGUGAAUCGAUCGACACCGAUUCGAUCGACAAAAUUCGAUUGAUUCACGGGCUUGUCAAUCGCACGGGUUAAUCGAUCGACUCAAUGCUUUUUUCGAUCCAUUGACGGCUUUUGUCGAUCGAUUCACGGGUUUGUCGAUCGAUUCACGGCUUUCGUCGAUCCAUUCACGGGUUUGUCGAUCCAUUCACGGUCGACUGAUUCACGGGUUUGUCGAUCGACUCACGGGUUUGUCGAUCGAUUCACGGGUUUGCCGAUCGAUUCACGGGUUUGCCGAUAGAUUUACGGGUUUGCCGAUAGAUUUACGGGUUUGCCGAUCGAUUCACGGGUUUGUCGAUCCAUUCACGGGUUUGUCGAUCCAUUCACGGUCGACUGAUUCACGGGUUUGUCGAUCGAUUCACGGGUUUGUCGAUCCAUUCACGGGUUUGUCGAUCGAUUCACGGGUUUGUCGAUCGAUUCACGGGUUUGCCGAUCGAUUCACGGGUUUGCCGAUCGAUUCACGGGUUUGUCGAUCCAUUCACGGUCGACUGAUUCACGGGUUUGUCGAUCGACUCACGAGUUUGUCGAUCGAUUCACGGGUUUAUCGAUCGAUUCACGGGUUUGUCGAUCGAUUCACGGGUUUGUCGAUCGAUUCACGGGUUUGUCGAUCGAUUUACGCUUUUGUAGAUCCAUUCACGGGUUUGUCGAUCCAUUCACGGUCGACUGAUUCAAGGGUUUGUCGAUCGACUCACGGGUUUGUCGAUCGAUUCACGGGUUUAUCGAUCGAUUCACGGGUUUAUCGAUCGAUUCACGGGUUUGUCGAUCGAUUCACGGGUUUGUCGAUCGAUUCACGGGUUUGCCGAUCGAUUCACGGGUUUGUCGAUCGAUUCACAGGUUUGUCGAUCGAUUCAUGUUUUCGUUUUUCGAUCCAUUCAUGUCGAUCGGAUCCAUACCCUCCAUUUUAUUUUCAUGAGUGUGUGUAUUCUAAUGGAGUUGUUUCU
rnacentral:lncRNA from 1 species